rnacentral:rRNA from 1 species
GACGAACGCUGGCGGCGUGCUUAACACAUGCAAGUCGAACGGAAAGGCCCUGCUUUUGUGGGGUGCUCGAGUGGCGAACGGGUGAGUAACACGUGAGUAACCUGCCCUUGACUUUGGGAUAACUUCAGGAAACUGGGGCUAAUACCGGAUAGGAGCUCCUGCUGCAUGGUGGGGGUUGGAAAGUUUCGGCGGUUGGGGAUGGACUCGCGGCUUAUCAGCUUGUUGGUGGGGUAGUGGCUUACCAAGGCUUUGACGGGUAGCCGGCCUGAGAGGGUGACCGGCCACAUUGGGCCUGAGAUACGGCCCAGACUCCUACGAGAGGCAGCAGUGGGGAAUAUUGCACAAUGGGCGGAAGCCUGAUGCAGCAACGCCGCGUGCGGGAUGACGGCCUUCGGGUUGUAAACCGCUUUCGCCUGUGACGAAGCGUGAGUGACGGUAAUGGGUAAAGAAGCACCGGCUAACUACGUG